GAUGAACGCUAGCGGCAGGCUUAAUACAUGCAAGUCGAGGGGUAACAGGGGUAGCAAUACCUGCUGACGACCGGCAAACGGGUGCGGAACACGUACGCAACCUUCCCAAAACUGGUGAAUAGCCUUCCGAAAGGGAGAUUAAUACACCGUAACAUAAUGAAAUGGCAUCAUUUUAUUAUUAUAGCUCAGGCGGUUUUGGAUGGGCGUGCGCCUGAUUAGGUAGUUGGCGGGGUAACGGCCCACCCAAGCCUGCGAUCAGUAACUGGUGUGAGAGCACGACCAGUCACACGGGCACUGAGACACGGGCCCGGACUCCUACGGGAGGCAGCAGUAAGGAAUAUUGGUCAAUGGACGAAAGUACUGAACCAAGCCAUGCCGCGUGAAGGAUGAA
rnacentral:rRNA from 1 species